rnacentral:rRNA from 1 species
GUAUGGGGCAAGCGUUAUCCGGAUUUACUGGGUGUAAAGGGAGCGCAGACGGCACUGCAAGUCUGAAGUGAAAGCCCGGGGCUCAACCCCGGGACUGCUUUGGAAACUGUAGAGCUAGAGUGCUGGAGAGGCAAGCGGAAUUCCUAGUGUAGCGGUGAAAUGCGUAGAUAUUAGGAGGAACACCAGUGGCGAAGGCGGCUUACUGGACGAUGACUGACGUUGAGGCUCGAAAGCGUGGGGAGCAAACAGGAUUAGAUACCCUGGUAGUCCACGCUGUAAACGAUGACUGCUAGGUGUCGGGUAGCAAAGCUAUUCGGUGCCGCAGCUAACGCAAUAAGCAGUCCACCUGGGGAGUACGUUCGCAAGAAUGAAACUCAA